AGGGGCAAAUAUAAAAGUUGAACAAACCUUGUGCCCCUGAGAUUCUCUGGUAAGCUUUGAACAAUCCUUGAACAUUCUUCUUGUGUACAACCACCACCUCCUUACUUCUACCUCUGCAUCUUCUUUUUCUCCCACCGACACCUAAACUUUCUCAUUUCUCUUUCUUCCUCCCUCUCUCAUCUCUGAUUCGUGCUGCAACACUCGUUUUUCUCUUCAAUCUCUCGGUUUCAGCUUUUGAAUGGCUGCCAAUCACACUACAGAUGGUUCUAAAGAUUGGGCCUUGAAUACGAAUGGAGGAUCUAAAGAUAACAUCUCGCUGGUUGUUUGUUUUGGGGAAAUGUUGAUAGAUUUUGUGCCAACAGUCGCAGGAGUUUCCCUGGCUGAAGCACCUGCUUUCAAGAAGGCUCCUGGGGGUGCACCUGCUAAUGUGGCUGUUUGCAUAUCAAGACUAGGUGGUUCAUCAGCUUUUAUUGGCAAGCUAGGUGAUGAUGAUUUUGGCUAUAUGUUGGCUGACAUUUUAAAACAAAACAACGUCAAUCAUUCUGGCAUACGAUUUGAUCCCAGCGCAAGGACUGCACUGGCAUUUGUUACUCUCAGAGCUGAUGGUGAACGUGAAUUCUUAUUUUUCCGUCAUCCCAGUGCAGACAUGCUUCUUCGUGAGUCAGAACUAGAUAUGAAUCUCCUCAAGCAGGCAAGGAUAUUUCAUUAUGGUUCUAUUAGUUUGAUUGCAGAACCAUGCAGGUCAGCUCAUCUUGCUGCUAUGAGGAUUGCCAAAAGUUCCGGUAGCAUCCUUUCUUAUGAUCCAAAUUUGAGAUUGGCAUUAUGGCCAUCGCCAGAGAAUGCUCGAGAAGGCAUAAUGAGUAUAUGGGAACAAGCUGAUGUCAUUAAGAUAAGUGAGGAGGAAAUCACAUUUUUAACUGGAGGCGAUGAUCCUAAUGAUGAUAAUGUGGUCUUAAAGAAGCUUUUUCAUCCCAAUCUAAAGCUUUUAAUUGUGACUGAAGGCUCUGAAGGCUGUAGAUACUACACCAAGGAUAUUUACACCAACCACACUCAAUGCAGGAAUUCAAAGGCAGGGUUGGUGGUGUGAAAGUGAAACCAGUUGACACAACCGGUGCAGGUGAUGCCUUUGUUGGAGGGAUUCUUAGCAGCCUAGCAUCUGAUCUAAGUCUAUUGAAGGAUGAGGAGCGGUUAAGAGAUGCUCUUCUUUUUGCAAAUGCCUGUGGUGCUGUUACGGUAACGGAGAGGGGUGCAAUUCCUGCACUGCCCACUAAAGAAGCUGUCCUCAAACUCUUGGGGAAAGCCCCUGCGUGAUGAAAUUGUGACGGAAAUCAUGAAUAUAUCUUCUUUAUUAUUGCAAGUUCAAUCCUUCUUAGUUCACAACCUUUUUUGCUCCUUUUUUUGCUUCAUUCCUUUCGCCUAUGAACAAAAAGGAUGGAAUUUACCCCGUUCUCUCAGUGGGCUUAAUUUGAUUUCAAUGUUGUAGAUUAAUUGACUAA